AGUGAACGCUGGCGGCGUGCCUAAUACAUGCAAGUCGAACGGAGUGGCGCACGGGUGAGUAAUAUAUAGCUAAAUUGCCCAUUACUAAGGGACAACAGGUGGAAACGACUGCUAAUACCUUAUAGUAAUGGAUGGGGCUAUAUCGUAUCAGCUAGUUGGUAAGGUAACGGCUUACAAAGGCUAUGACGCGUAACUGGUCUGAGUGGAUGAUCAGUCAACCUGGAACUGAGGCAUGGUCCGGGCACCUACGGGAAGCAGCAGUAGGGAAUAUUGCUCAAUGGGGGAGACCCUGAAGCAGCAACGCCGCGUGGAGGAUGACACUUUUCGGAGCGUAAACUCCUUUUCUUGGGAAAGCGGUACCCAAGGAAUAAGCACCGGCUAACUCCGUGCCAGCAGCCGCGGUAAUAC
rnacentral:rRNA from 1 species